AUGCUCCCGCUCGCCGCCGCAAGGGCCUGCCUUUCCUCCCCGGCGCCGACGCCGAGACCCCCAUCCCCAUCCCCAUCCCGAGCGGCGCCUCUCUCCCCCCUUCACCGUCGCCGCUCCACCGCCACGCUGCCCAGACCCGCCGGGCUCCCCCUCCUCCGUCCGCUCGGGGCCGCCGCGGGGGCGGGCGCGCCGGGCGCGUCCUCGCGGCCGGCGAGGGACCGCGUGAUCGACUUCGGCAAGCACAAGGGCCAGAUGCUGGGCACGCUGCCGCCGUCCUACCUGCGGUGGGUGGUCGUGGAGCUCGACUACGGGGACACGCUGGUCUGGGCGCGCCUGGCGCGCGAGGUGCUGGACGACCCCGUCUACGUCGACCGCGUGGAGUGGGAGCACGCGCACCGCUUCCUCCGCGGCGACUCCAAGUUCGACUACGUCUACGACGAUGCCGGCGACGACGGCGACGGGCCGCUCCAGGAGAUGGCCGAGCGCUUCGGCUGGGACCUCUCCGACGAGGACGGCUGGGGCCGCCUCGACUUCCGCCUCCUCGGCACCUCCUACGGCGGCCGCAUCCCGAGGAAGGCCGGCCGGCGCCAGAGCACCGGCAACAGAACCCCCCGCAGCGGGAGCGCCCUGUUCGACGCCGGGGCGGCUGACCCGGACGGGCCGAGGGGGAAGAGGGACGAGAGGCGUGAGCGGAUGCGGACGAGGAGGGAGGAGCAGGUGAGGACGGCGAAGCUGGAUGUGCUCGGCGUGAGCGCCGGCGCGAAGGAUGGCGGCGCACUGGGGACGGCGAGGAAGGCCCGCAUUGGAGCGGCGGCGAAGAAGGACAUCCUGGGGCUGGGGCGCGGCGGCGAGAGGGCGGCGCCGCUGAAAGGCGGCGAGGGAGGGAGCCCGUUCCCCGGCCGGCAAGCCUUCCUCGACAAGGUUAGGAAGCUCAAGGGCGAUGAUAGCUAG
rnacentral:rRNA from 1 species